CGGAGGAGCAGCCAGCAGCAGAACCGGAAGCAUCGGGUGCUGGGAAUGCCGAGUCCCUAGACUGGGCUUGCGCACUCCGGACCCCUGAGCGGAUUUAAAGAGGGCAACUGCAAGCUCCUCCUCCGGCCUGAGGCGGGCAAACCCGACUCCUAAGUGGUGGUGGCUUCUCUCUUAAAAGAGUGGAUCCUUCGGACAAAGAGGGAGACCCGGGCUGAGUGGUCACCAGGCGGAGGCUCUGGAAUCUGAACUUUACUCCGGGGAGGAGGCGCGGAGUGAGGAGGAGUCGGGGCCAAGCCGCUGGGCCGGCCCAGGGCUCCCCGCCGCCCCGGGGCAUCACCCCCGUGCGAGAAGGUAGAUGGUGUUAGAGUCCGGAGACAGGAUGUAGGGGUCGAGGAGACCUAGGCAAUGGGCUGCCGGGGCCAGGGCGCAGGUCGGGAAGGGGGACGGGUUGCGGGGCUGCUUCAGACUGCGGCUGGGCCUGACAGGUCUAGUUUUCGGCGCUGCUGAUCCGCGGAGCCCAGGAAUCAAGCAGCUUCCUGAGCCCGGCCCUGGACGGACAGUGACCCGUGGGAGGAGAGAAAGGACUCCCGGGGCAGCUAAAAGACGUCCGAACCUCGCGAGCGCACACUCAGCCCUUCGUUCCCUUCAGUUCAUCACGCCCAGCUCAAAUUUGGCCCCGGGACCCCGGGCCACUCACCUGGAGGCGGGCGGCCGAGCGCGGAGCGAGCCCACCUGAGGGGGCGUGGCCGCAGCCUGAAGCCCGGCGCGAAGGAGUUAAGCCGAGGCGGCCCCGCCCCGCCCCAGGCAGGCCGCAGAGCCUGAGCCCCAGCG
rnacentral:lncRNA from 1 species